CCUACGGGAGGCAGCAGUGGGGAAUAUUGGACAAUGGGCGCAAGCCUGAUCCAGCCAUGCCGCGUGAGUGAAGAAGGCCCUAGGGUUGUAAAGCUCUUUCACCGGUGAAGAUAAUGACGGUAACCGGAGAAGAAGCCCCGGCUAACUUCGUGC
rnacentral:rRNA from 1 species